CCCCCGACAAACACAUACAGCACCAGAAGAGUAGACAAUAGCAAUCCAUAUUUUCGAUGGUCUUAAGCGACCCCUGGCAAAUAGUUAAUCGACCCCCCAAGGGGGUCGCGACCCACAGGUUGAGAACCCCUGAGCUAGAGGUUUAUGAUUUAUGUGACAUACAAACCAAUGUGUAUUGAAACUAUAAGAUACCCACACACGCACAUAAAACAUCAAAAGUUCUUUAAAAAAACGUUUCAUUCAAGCCUAAUCGUGAAUGAAAAGGCAGACAUUUUGGAAUCAUAUGAUAACUCAGUCCAAGUAAAAAUUCAGACAUUAGGCCCUUUUACCAAUGUGAUAAUACAGUCCAAGUAAAGAAUCAGACUUAGCGUCUACCCAUGUGAUAACUCAAAAGUAAAGAAUCAAGACUUAGCGUCUACCCAUGUGAU